GACUAAGUUCAGGGAAACCAUGAACAUGGCUGAUAAUGAUGCUAGUACAAGGGUUAUUGACUCACUUAUUAAUUAUGAGACUGUCAAAUAUUUUAAUAAUGAAGUUUAUGAAGCUGAUAAUUAUGACAAGUACCUAAAGAGAUAUGAGGAUGAUGCU